rnacentral:rRNA from 1 species
UACGAAGGGGGGCUAGCGUUGCUCGGAAUCACUGGGCGUAAAGGGUGCGUAGGCCGGGUCUUUAAGUCAGGGGAUGAAAUCCUGGAAGCUCCAACGUCCAGAACUGCCUUUGAUACUGGCGACCUUGAGUUCGGGAGAGGUGAGUGGAAACUGCGAGUGGUAGAGGUGAAAUUCGUAGAUAUUCGCAAAGAACACCAGUGG